AUGGGUGAGAUGGAAAGGCAGAAAAUGGAAGAAGCAAGAAAAGCUUACAUCGUUGCAGUUGUUGUUAGCAAAGAAAAGCAAGAUGAAGAAUCUAUUGCUGCCACUGCUAAUGCUAGGUUACAUCUUCAAUCAGUUGCAGCGGUUACAUGGAAGACAAAUAUAAUUGUGGUAAUUGUUACUAGAAGAGCAGUUGUGGCUGCAACUAAUGUUAUAGUCACAGCAGCUGCUUUGUGA